AGCCUCUACAAGCAUAUGCAAAAGUUGCUGCGUUUGAAAAGCUCAUAGUUGGGUCUGUUCUAAGGACAGCUUCUUUAGCCGGGCUUACCCAUAGUCGACGGGCUAUCGUUGUCGCUUAGCGUCUUUCUGUUGAGGGUGUUUGCACUUCAUUGUGUCGAAUACUCGAGACAGGAAAUUUACCUUGAGUAAAUUGGAGUGUUCAAAGCAAUCAUGAGUUUGAACAAUAAAGCAUGGAAUAGUGGAGGACGACCCGCAAAACCAUUUGCUGGGUUAGCGGUUGAUGCGGUAAUGAUUGAAAGGAACAGUCGGGGGCAUUCGUAUUGCUACGUUAGAGGUGAAAUUCUUGGAUCGUGGCAAGACGAACUACUGCGAAAGCAUUUGCCAAGAAUGUUUUCAUUAA
rnacentral:rRNA from 1 species